AUGUCAAGGGAGGAAGUUGUGCGGGUAAAUACGGUACCAUGUUCCCUGAAUCUGAUUUCUUACAGAAGGGCGGGGAAGCCGUUCGGAGGCUUCAGCUGCAGAGGGAAAAGUCAUCCCAGCUCCCUGGCCGAGGGUGUCCCGGCCGAGUGGCCGUCAGCGUCCACACUCGGGAUGCUGAGCCACCCCUCGGCCGAGGGCGUCCGGAGAGAGCAAGGUCCCGCCAGGGCAGCGAAGCGCUUGCGCGGGCAAAUGAGCAGCCGCUUGGCCCCACGCUUUCCGGCAGCCCCGGAACCGGCAACGCGGCUUCUGGGCGUGCGCGGAGCCUCGACGCCAGCCGAGACCGGUCGGGUCCCAGACAGCGCCUCCUCCCGGAACAACGGCUGGGGGUGUCCGGAGGAAACCCUGCACCCGGGCUGCGAGGCAAGGCGUCGACCGCCGUGGAGGACGCCGAGGCUUCGCCCAGAACCUCGCGGGCACCGUAGCGUCUUCUCGUUCAUCCUUGUUGCCGAGGGCUCUGCGAGUCUUCCCGCUGGAGCACCGCUCUGCAGUUCCUGGAACUCCAGUUUCAGCCUCAUCCUUGUUGCUGAAGGCUCUGAGAGUCUUCCCGCUGGAGCACCGCUCUGCAGUUCCUGGAACUCCUGUUUCAGCCUCAUCCUUGUUGCUGAAGGCUCUGAGAGUCUUCCCGCUGGAGCACCGCUCUGCAGUUCCUGGAACUCCUGUUUCAGCCUCAUCCUUGUUGCUGAAGGCUCUGCGAGUCUUCCCGCUGGAGCACCGCUCUGCAGUUCCUGGAACUCCUGUUUCAGCCUCAUCCUUGUUGCUGAAGGCUCUGCGAGUCUUCCCGCUGGAGCACCGCUCUGCAGUUCCUGGAACUCCUGUUUCAGCCUCAUCCUUGUUGCUGAAGGCUCUGAGAGUCUUCCUGCUGGAGCACUGCUCUACGCUCCCAGGAGGCUCCACCGGACUUUUCUUAAAUUUCUUCCUCAAGCCUUGGAGGAACUGAAAUUCACAAGAAUCCAAUGCCCCCGCCAUGAAGCUUUAGGGGCUUGAGCGUCGGGCUUUGCUUUGGGCUUCUCAGGCAGAACCCCUGCUGUGCCCUUGAGCAAGUGACUUGGCACCCUCUAUGCCUCGCUUUCCUCAUCUAGAAAAUAGGGGUAAUAGAACUGAUGUUACCUGGCUGCUGUGAAUCUUAACUGGGAUAACACAGGCACUAGACAUAGGGCAACUACUUAAGUAAUAGAUGUUGCUUAACUCUGAGGGAAUAUUUUCCCCUGUGGAGGGGAAGAAAGGUGGCCUGAUUUCAGUUUCUGGGGUUUAAGGCAGAAUUGUGGCUUCUAGAGUGUGCGCAGCCUCGUGGGAGAUUCCUGUAGAGCAGGCAGCCCCUUCGUAUCCUUUGCACCCGGUUCUAGUGCUUCUCUAGCAAGGAGGAGCUGUGGAUGUCUCCUAGGGAGGAGAAAGCGGGACAGAAAAGGUGGGAGCUUCUUGCUCCUGGGAAUAACUAGCAGAGGGAACCAAGGCCAAAAUCCUGGACCACCUCCCUUCCAGUCUCCUAGGCUGGGCAUUGGGACCAGUUUCCAGAAUGUCGGGUCACCCUGCGGCAUUCCCAUAGCAGGCGGCAGGCGCCCAGCCCUAGCUCGGCGUCGGGGAAGCAGCACUGCGGGACGCCCUCCCGGCUCCGGCUCCGGCUCCGGGGCCCCGGGAGGUAAGCCACCGGCCAUAAGGCCACGCCUCGGAGCCGCCGGCGCUCACUUCGCUGCCGGCCGCGCAAGGCAAACGGUUGGCUUCCAAAUCUGCCUGCGUCCGCGGCCAAGAGCCGGCAGGUCCGACGCCCGCCAAGCCGCGGAGUUGAAACGCUCCCAAACAACCGGGCCGGCCUCAUCCUCGAGCUACAGGACGCGCUAGGGCUUGUCGGCCUAGCCGGCGACCCAGGAGCCCAGCGCCCCGCUGGGGCCAGUCAGCCCCUCUCCUCGUACUGCGCCAGCCUCCAGCCUCCAGCCUCCCUCCCGGAGGGAGGACCCAGGGAGGCCUAAGAGGGCCCCUAAACUCCGGG
rnacentral:lncRNA from 13 species